GGACCAUGCGUCCUUGCCGGCGCACCAUCCCGUCUCCGCCGACAAUCCCGCGUCUUCUCCAAAGCACCGUCAAAUCGGCGUCGGUGGUAGUCGUGCCCAAUGCAUCGUACAUGGCAACCGUGACGAUGGCGAGAGCGGUGGAUUUGUCCUUCAGCUCCUCCGCAAGUAUUAAGAUCUUCAAGCUCGAUUAACAGUCGGACGAUUGUGAUCUUCCCGUAAUGGGCGAGUCGACAAGCUCGGAGAGAUUCAAUAGUUUAUUGCGGUCCAAGCCCGCUGCUAGAUCAGGAAAUCUAGAAUCCACUCACUCUAAUCCGAGUUUUUCCCUUUGCAUUUGUAGUAGUAGAUUUCGAAAAUCAUGUGAAUUUGGAUAAUCUUCCCAUCUUGCAAAUUCAAGACCAAGUCAAGAUGGGUGAGAUUUCAAAUUAUCUAUCCAACAAGGAUAACAAAACCACGACUUGAUAUCAUUUGAACUUGUGGAC